rnacentral:rRNA from 1 species
GAUGAACGCUGGCGGCGUGCCUAAUACAUGCAAGUCGAGCGAACGGACGAGAAGCUUGCUUCUCUGAUGUUAGCGGCGGACGGGUGAGUAACACGUGGAUAACCUACCUAUAAGACUGGGAUAACUUCGGGAAACCGGAGCUAAUACCGGAUAAUAUUUUGAACCGCAUGGUUCAAAAGUGAAAGACGGUCUUGCUGUCACUUAUAGAUGGAUCCGCGCUGCAUUAGCUAGUUGGUAAGGUAACGGCUUACCAAGGCAACGAUGCAUAGCCGACCUGAGAGGGGGAUCGGCCACACUGGAACUGAGACACGGUCCAGACUCCUACGGGAGGCAGCAGUAGGGAAUCUUCCGCAAUGGGCGACAGCCUGACGGAGCAACGCCGCGUGAGUGAUGAAGGUCUUCGUAUCGUAAAACUCUGUUAUUAGGGAAGAACAUAUGUGUAAGUAACUGUGCACAUCUUGACGGUACCUAAUCAGAAAGCCACGGCUAACUACGUG